rfam:Streptomyces sp. Tu6071 chromosome, whole genome shotgun sequence.
CCCCGGGGCCGUGACUGGCGCGAACAGUGGAAUCGACCACGAGGAAGCGGCCUCCGCACGGGUGGUGCCUCCGCCCGGUGUGCGGUCGUGCGCCUGGGCCAUUCGA